GUCUUCGGCGCUAAGCGCAGUGCACCUGCUGAUCCAACGCGCUGAUAAGGAUGGCGCCUCCGCGGACUGUUGGAAAGAGAAGUCAACAUCAGCGGAGAGGGAAUUUCGUCCUUUCUAGGCACCUGCGAGCCACGUUCAACUGCAUCAUGAACGACCUCCGCAAUUUCAGCUUGUGGCAGUUUGUGAACGAUCCGGGAAUUGUUUACCUAGUGGUGCCGUUUCUUUUAAUCAUUGAAUUUAUCGUGAACAUCACAGUUAUCGGCAGGGUACCGUACACCGAAAUUGACUGGAGAGCUUAUAUGCAAGAAGUGGAAGGAGUGCUGAAUGGCACUUACGACUACGCUCGUCUUAAAGGGGACACAGGA